rnacentral:tRNA from 1 species
UCCCUAGUGGCUCAGUUGGUAAAGAAUCUGCCUGCAAUGCAGGAGGCCUGGGUUUGAUUCCUGGGUUGGGAA